rnacentral:lncRNA from 1 species
CUCUGGCACACAUCCUGCCUCAGCGGAGCACACUGACCCCCCUCGCCAGCUGUGAUUUUGGAGAACAAUGACAAAACUGUUUUCAAGGGCUCUGGUUCUUUCAACCCGUGUCAACACCGCCGUUUUCUGAGCUGUAUGGGUAUACCGGACACGCAGAGAGAGACUGUCUACUGUAUUCUGGGUGAAGAGGGAGGUGGGCCGAUAUGCUUUGUGAUUGUUCCUGAGACCAAGACUGUAGCGCUCUCACAAUUACAGACUCUCAAGCCCGGGAGCUGAGCUGGGAUCUCAAGAGGACUUGAAGGUCUCGCAAGCAGAUGGGACGUUUGUGAAAAGGAUCAAAGUGAUACCCGGUGUUUUCAGAGACCAUUCAUUCAUUCGGAGAGCUGACGCGAGGGCGGUGCCUGAUUCGAGUAAUCAGGUAUGGAUCUCCUACAAGGAAUCUACUCUGUUUAAUCUUGUGGGGAUCCACUCUGAGGCCCCAGAGGAGGUUCCUGGAUUGCCUUGACUGCGCUGUGGUACUCGUAACACACUAUGGGUCACAGGAGGAUGGCCCUACACUUUGAGAAAUACUCGCAGCUCAUGAGUGUCUCACCCAGGCAGAGUUGUUUUGCAGUGCUGCAAAAAGAGUUCCUAGUGAAAAAAUGUUGAAAACGGUCAGUAUUGUUUCCAUUAUUCAUGUAGACUGUUUCAAACUAGUAACACUGUCACUGACGUAUGAUUAAUAAUGUACUAAUCAGUGAACAACUACUGCUGAACUUUACCACCAGAUGCUGAGCAAACCCGAGUCAAACCUCAUCAAGAUAACUGUCCUGUGGCAAGAGGGAGCAAAUAUUUUUCCUGUAUGUGGGACUGCAUCACUGAGAAUGAAGACUUUUGCUUUUUCAAGAGAAGGCAUCCUCAUAGGAAGAGGACGCACCGGAAACACCUCCACAUUCACUGGAGUGAGGCGUGGCAUGAAAGUGACAGGGUGCUGAAAUGACUGUUUUUGUUCCCUUGCAAACUGUGUGUGCUGUCACUUUAGAAACACUGGAGAUGGGUCUUGGGAAACAACAUGGUGCCUGCUGCCUUCCCAACCUGGAACAGGGCUUUUCAAAUACAUCAGCGCCGCCUCUUGCCCCAUCACCAGCCAACAAACACCUUGGAUCCUUCGGGGGAUGUGAUUGGACACAGUCAGUGGGAUUCCUGUGACCUCUGACUGAGCGGCUGAAUCUCUGCGCGGAGGAAAGACACAGCUGUUCCACUCUGAACAUCAGACUGACACACAGACAGCUUCCACUCCCUGUGGGAAAAUCCUCCAAUCCUCAACCAAUCCUCCUUCCAUUCAUUAUCCAUUCAGAAAGGUGCUUAGUCCUGGUGAAGCUGGGGGCAGCCAGAUCUCCAUUAAUGGAAUAACAGGAUGGAUGUUUUUUCUCCUUAGACACUACCAUUACGUUUGCGAAACCACCUCUCUAAAAGCACCAUUCAUCCCCUCCAGAGUGGGAGCUCCACCAGCAGGGGAGGAAAAGACGCAGACAUACCCCAUUGACCACGUGGGUUUCCGCUGGCAGUGGUAUGAGCACAAGGACCGCUGUGUCCCAGGUGCAAGGCUGAAU